GCCGGGUGCGGUGGCACAUGCCUGUAGUCUCAGCUACUCGGGAGGCUGAUGUGGGAGGAUUGCUUGAGCCCGGGAGUUCUGGGCUGUAGUGCGCUAUGCCGAUCGGGGGUCUGCACUAAAUUUGGCAUCAAUAUGGUGACCUCCCAGGAGCAGGGGACCACCAGGUUGCCUAAGGAGGGGUGAACCAGCCCAGGUCAGAAAUGGAGCAGGUCAAAACUCCCCUGCCGAUCAGUAGUGGGAUUGCACAUGUUAAUAGCCACUGCACUCCAGGCUGGGCAACAUAGCAAGACCCCGUCUCU
rnacentral:SRP_RNA from 1 species